rnacentral:tRNA from 1 species
CCGUGGCGGAAUUGGUAGACGCGACGGAUUCAAAAUCCGUUUCCCGCUUUAGGGAGUGGGGGUUCGAGUCCCCCCGG